GAGCGAGCAGAACCAGCAGAUUUACUUCGGUAAUGACGCUGGGGACGCGAGCGGCGGAUGGGUGAGUAACACGUGGGGAACCUGCCCCAUAGUCUGGGAUACCACUUGGAAACAGGUGCUAAUACCGGAUAAUAAAGCAGAUCGCAUGAUCAGCUUAUAAAAGGCGGCGUAAGCUGUCGCUAUGGGAUGGUCCCGCGGCGUAUUAGCUAGAUGGUGGGGUAACGGCUCACCAUGGCAAUGAUACGUAGCCGACCUGAGAGGGUAAUCGGCCACAUUGGGACUGAGACACGGCCCAAACUCCUACGGGAGGCAGCAGUAGGGAAUCUUCCACAAUGGACGAAAGUCUGAUGGAGCAACGCCGCGUGAGUGAAGAAGGUUUUCGGAUCGUAAAACUCUGUUGUUGGAGAAGAACACGUUUGAGAGUAACUGUUCAGACGUUGACGGUAUCCAACCAGAAAGCCACGGCUAACUACGUGCCAGCAGCCGCGGUAAUACGUAGGUGGCAAGCGUUGUCCGGAUUUAUUGGGCGUAAAGCGAGCGCAGGCGGAAGAAUAAGUCUGAUGUGAAAGCCCUCGGCUUAACCGAGGAAUUGCAUCGGAAACUGUUUUUCUUGAGUGCAAAAGAGGAGAGUGGAACUCCAUGUGUAGCGGUGGAAUGCGUAGAUAUAUGGAAGAACACCAGUGGCGAAGGCGGCUCU
rnacentral:rRNA from 1 species